rnacentral:rRNA from 1 species
GACGAACGCUGGCGGCGUGCUUAAUACAUGCAAGUCGAGCGAGGUUACUGUUUUGGAUCCCUUCGGGGUGAAGAAGCUUUAACCUAGCGGCGGACGGGUGAGUAACGCGUGGGUAACCUACCCCAAAGUCCGGGAUAACAGCGGGAAACCGCUGCUAAUACCGGAUGCCUUUACCUUGGGGCAUCUUGAGGUAAAGAAAGGUAACGCUUUGGGAUGGGCCCGCGUCCCAUUAGCUAGUUGGUGAGGUAACGGCUCACCAAGGCGACGAUGGGUAGCCGGCCUGAGAGGGUGGACGGCCACACUGGGACUGAGACACGGCCCAGACUCCUACGGGAGGCAGCAGUAGGGAAUACUGCGCAAUGGACGGAAGUCUGACGCAGCGACGCCGCGUGAGCGAUGAAGGUCUUCGGAUCGUAAAGCUCUGUCCUUGGGGAAGAAGGCGAAAGCUUGACGGUACCCAAGAAGAAAGCCCCGGCUAACUACGUG